GUUUUUUGUUGCUAAACCCAUUAAGGAAGAAUUAAGAAAGAGGGAAAAGGAGAUAUGUGUCAGAAGAAAGGUAGCAAAAGAAACAGGUGAGGGAAGGAAGAAGAUCAGUAAAGAAAGGUGAGGAAGAUGAAAGGUAAAGAACAGAAGAGAAAGAAAAUACAGGAAUGAGAGGCAGAUAAAAGGACAAACAAAAAGGGAGUAGGAAAAAGGAGAUGAAGAAGAGGGUCUGAGGUUUCCAUUUUUAUUGACUACUGACU
rnacentral:lncRNA from 1 species